GUACAUGGGGUUUUGGGCCUCAGGGUACAGGUUCGAGUCCUGUUUUUCUAGGA
rnacentral:tRNA from 1 species